AUUGAACGCUGGCGGCAGGCCUAACACAUGCAAGUCGAACGAGUGGCGGACGGGUGAGUAAUGUCUGGGAAACUGCCUGAUGGAGGGGGAUAACUACUGGAAACGGUAGCUAAUACCGCAUACCAUCGGAUGUGCCCAGAUGGGAUUAGAUAGUAGGUGGGGUAAAGGCUCACCUAGGCGACGAUCCCUAGCUGGUCUGCGAGGAUGACCAGCAACACUGGAACUGAGACACGGGCCAGACUCCUACGGGAGGCAGCAGUGGGGAAUAUUGCACAAUGGGCGCAAGCCUGAGGCAGCCAUGCCGCGUGUAUAAAGAAGGCCUUCGGGUUGUAAAGUACUUUCAGCGUGGAGGCGGUACUCGCAGAAGAAGCACCGGCUAACUCCGUGCCAGCAGCCGCGGUAAUAC
rnacentral:rRNA from 1 species